rnacentral:rRNA from 1 species
AACGAACGCUGGCGGCAGGCCUAACACAUGCAAGUCGAGCGAGGUAGCAAUACCUAGCGGCGGACGGGUGAGUAACGCGUGGGAACGUGCCCUUUGCUACGGAAUAGCCCUGGGAAACUGGGAGUAAUACCGUAUGUGCCCUUCGGGGGAAAGAUUUAUCGGCAAAGGAUCGGCCCGCGUUGGAUUAGGUAGUUGGUGGGGUAAUGGCCUACCAAGCCGACGAUCCAUAGCUGGUUUGAGAGGAUGAUCAGCCACACUGGGACUGAGACACGGCCCAGACUCCUACGGGAGGCAGCAGUGGGGAAUCUUAGACAAUGGGCGCAAGCCUGAUCUAGCCAUGCCGCGUGAGCGAUGAAGGCCUUAGGGUUGUAAAGCUCUUUCGUGGGGGAAGAUAAUGACUGUACCCCAAGAAGAAGCCCCGGCUAACUCCGUGCCAGCCGCCGCAGUAAGAC